rnacentral:rRNA from 1 species
UGCUUAACACAUGCAAGUCGAACGAGAAAGUUUCCUUCGGGAAGCGAGUAGAGUGGCGCACGGGUGAGUAACACGUAGGUAAUCUGUCCUCGAACCUGGAAUAACAUGGCGAAAGCGAUGCUAAUACCGGAUAAAGUUUUUUGAACUACGGUUUAAAAGAUGAAAGGCGGCUUCGGCAGUCGAUCGAGGGUGAGCCUGCGUCCCAUUAGCUAGUUGGUAAGGUAACGGCUUACCAAGGCAGCGAUGGGUAGCUGGUCUGAGAGGAUGAUCAGCCACACUGGAACUGAAACACGGUCCAGACUCCUACGGGAGGCAGCAGUGAGGAAUUUUGCGCAAUGGGGGAAACCCUGACGCAGCAAUGCCGCGUGAGUGAAGAAGGCCUUCGGGUCGUAAAGCUCUGUCAAAUAGGAAGAAUGUAUUUAUAGUUAAUAGCAUUAAAUAGUGACGGUACUAUUAGAGGAAGCACCGGCUAACUCCGUGCCAGCAGCCGCGGUAAUACGGAGGGUGCAAGCGUUAUUCGGAAUCAUUGGGCGUAAAGGGCGCGUAGGCGGUUUGACAAGUCAGAUGUGAAAUCCCGGGGCUUAACCCCGGUAGGUCAUUUGAAACUGUCAGACUUGAGUGA